CAAACUACAAGUUUUAAGCCUCACCAAAAGUUGGGUGAGGCCAGAAUAGUGUAGUUUGUA
rnacentral:pre_miRNA from 1 species